rnacentral:rRNA from 1 species
CGGAGGAAAUCACUAGUGAAUUCG